rnacentral:rRNA from 1 species
GACGAACGCUGGCGGCGUGCCUAAUACAUGCAAGUAGAACGCUGAAGGAGGAGCUUGCUCUUCUGGAUGAGUUGCGAACGGGUGAGUAACGCGUAGGUAACCUGCCUGGUAGCGGGGGAUAACUAUUGGAAACGAUAGCUAAUACCGCAUAACAGUAGAUGUUGCAUGACAUUUGCUUAAAAGGUGCAAUUGCACCACUACCAGAUGGACCUGCGUUGUAUUAGCUAGUUGGUGGGGUAACGGCUCACCAAGGCGACGAUACAUAGCCGACCUGAGAGGGGGAUCGGCCACACUGGGACUGAGACACGGCCCAGACUCCUACGGGAGGCAGCAGUAGGGAAUCUUCGGCGAUGGACGGAAGUCUGACCGAGCAACGCCGCGUGAGUGAAGAAGGUUUUCGGAUCGUAAAGCUCUGUUGUAAGAGAAGAACGAGUGUGAGAGUGGAAAGUUCACACUGUGACGGUAUCUUACCAGAAAGGGACGGCUAACUACGUG